rnacentral:rRNA from 1 species
AUUGAACGCUGGCGGCAGGCUUAACACAUGCAAGUCGAGCGGUAACAGAGAGAAGCUUGCUUCUCUGCUGACGAGCGGCGGACGGGUGAGUAAUGCCUAGGAAUCUGCCUAGUAGUGGGGGAUAACUUGCCGAAAGGUAAGCUAAUACCGCAUACGUCCUACGGGAGGAAGGAGGGGACCUUCGGGCCUUUCGCUAUUAGAUGAGCCUAGGUCGGAUUAGUUAGUUGGUGAGGUAAUGGCUAACCAAGACCGCGAUCCGUAACUGGUCUGAGAGGAGGAUCAGUCACACUGGAACUGAGACACGGUCCAGACUCCUACGGGAGGCAGCAGUGGGGAAUAUUGGACAAUGGGGGGAACCCUGAUCCAGCCAUGCCGCGUGUGUGAAGAAGGUCUUAGGAUUGUAAAGCACUUUAAGUUGGGAGGAAGAGCAGUUAACUAAUAUUUGACUGUUUUGACGUUACCGACAGAAUAAGCACCGGCUAACUUCGUGCCAGCCGCCGCAGUAA